AGGACGAACGCUGGCGGCGCGCUUAACACAUGCAAGUCGAGCGAGAACCUGGCCUUCGGGCCUGGGGAAAGCGGCGAACGGGUGAGUAACACGUGGGUAACCCACCCUUGGUACCGGGAUAGCCCGAGGAAACUCGGAUUAAUACCGGAUGGCCCAACAGCUCUUCGGGGCGGUUGGAAAAGGUAGCUUCGGCCUCCGACCAAGGACGGGCCCGCGGCGGAUUAGCUUGUUGGUGAGGUAACGGCUCACCAAGGCGACGAUCCGUAGCUGGUCUGAGAGGACGAUCAGCCACACUGGGACUGAGACACGGCCCAGACUCCUACGGGAGGCAGCAGUGGGGAAUCUUGCACAAUGGGCGAAAGCCUGAUGCAGCGACGCCGCGUGAGGGAUGACGGCCUUCGGGUUGUAAACCUCUUUCAGCAGGAAGAAGCGCAAGUGACGGUACCUGCAGAGAAGCACCGGCUAACUACGUGCCAGCAGCGC
rnacentral:rRNA from 1 species